UAUACCCUGGUCAUUUCAUUAGCUC
rnacentral:piRNA from 1 species